UGCAACGACAAAGCAUAAAAUCGAUGGCAAGCCAACAACAACAAAUGUAAUGAAAAGCAACUACAACAGAUAGUACAGAAAGAGGCAAGCGCGAGCGAGAGAGAGUGAGUGUGAGCGAGCGAAUGCGCGUUGAGAAAAUUGCAAUCGGAGAGCGGGAGCUGCAAGAGAGCGAGAGCAGCCUGUUGGCCCCUCCGCAACCGCAUCUACAUCCACAUGCUCCUUCCUACCAACGUGGGCGCCUACAAGUGGGCGGGACGGGGUGGGGGCCGCAUACCAAACAAACCGCAAAAGGAGAGCGGCUGCUCGCUCGCACUCUCCCGCUCUCGGACAGCUGCCGGUAAUCAAUAUUGAUGAUGAUAGCAGCAGCCGAAGAAGAUGAAAAGCAAAAGGAAAGGUGUCCCGAUUGUUCGCAGUGCAUCAAAGGCACUUCCCACCUUUUCUUCGCUCUUUUCCUUUCCGCAAGGAAAUGAUUCACAAUGCAAAAAAAAUGGCAAGGGAAAAGGAAAAGAAAAACGAAGGCGUUGUAGGAGGAAGUAAAAGAACCCGAAAGAGCGAGAGAGAGCGAUGUAUGCAGAGAGAAGGCAAUGAAAAUGUUUAUCAAACGAGAAAAGAGCAGCGACGAAGAUGAGGAGGAGGCGGCUGCAAAAGGAACAACAACAAGCUAGAGAUUACAAUGACAAUGCAUCCAUGAGAUACUCAGAUACAAUUGAAAUCGAAUAUAAUUUCUCAAUUGAAUUGAGUCGCAGAAUGUAAAUAAAGCAACAAGACAUCAAAGAAAAUUGGUGCAAAUAGGUGUUAAAUGUACCGAAAGUGACAAUACCCUAGAU
ensembl:ncRNA lncRNA:CR42746 long non-coding RNA:CR42746